ACUCAAAUGAAUUGACGGGGACCCGCACAAGCGGUGGAGCGUGUUGUUUAAUUCGACGGUAAGCGAAGAACCUUACCAAGGCUUGACAUCCUGCCAAGUCCAGCGAAAGCUGGAUGUGCCUUCGGGCCGCAGUGACAGGUGAUGCAUGGCCGUCGUCAGCUCGUGUCGUGAGAUGUUUGGUUAAGUCCAUCAACGAGCGCAACCCUUAUAGUUAGUUGAAUUUUUCUAGCUAGACUGCCCCGGUAACGGGGAGGAAGGAGGGGAUGAUGUCAGGUCAUUAUUUCCCUUACGCCUUGGGCUACAAACACGCUACAAUGGCCGGUACAAAGGGCAGCGAAGUCGCGAGGCGGAGCAAAUCCCAUCAAAGCCGGUCUCAGUUCGGAUAGUAGGCUGAAACUCGCCUGCUUGAAGCUGGAAUCGCUAGUAACGGUAGGUCAGCACACUACCGUGAAUACGUUCCCGGGUCUUGCACACACCGCCCGU
rnacentral:rRNA from 1 species